rnacentral:rRNA from 1 species
GGAAUGAAGUAAGAUAAACGGCUAACAGUAUCAAUAUGGAGGGCAAGUCUGGUGCCAGCAGCCGCGGUAAAACAGCUACCAAUAGCGUAUAUUAAAGUUUGUUGCAGUUAAAAAGCUCGUAGUUAGGAUUUCUGUUAAUAAUUUAUAUAAAAUAUUUUGAUGAAUAUUUAUAUAAUAUUAACAUAAUUCAUAUUACUAUAUAUUUUAGUAUAUGAAAUUUUACUUUGAGAAAAUUAUAGUGCUUAAAGCAGGCAUAUGCCUUGAAUACUCCAGCAUGGAAUAAUAUUAAAGAUUUUUAUCUUUCUUAUUGGUUCUAAGAUAAGAAUAAUGAUUAAUAGGGACAGUUGGGGGCAUUUGUAUUUAACAGUCAGAGGUGAAAUUCUUAGAUUUGUUAAAGACAAACUAAUGCGAAAGCAUUUGCCGAGGAUGUUUUCAUUAAUCAACAACGAAAGUUAGGGGAUCGAAGACGAUCAGAUACCGUCGUAGUCUUAACCAUAAACUAUGCCCACUAGAGGUUGGAGGUUGUUC